rnacentral:lncRNA from 7 species
CCAUUUAACGAAAAUCACGCGUUUUUUCUUCGGAAAUUCCCAUUUAAGCAAAAAUCACGCGUUUUCUCUUCGACAAUCCCCCAUUUAACCAAAAAAAUCACGCAUUUUCUCUUCACAAAUCCCCCAUUUAAACCCGAAAAUCACGCGUUUUCUCUUCGAGAAUCCCCCAUUUUAGUGAAAAUCACGCGUUUUCUCUUCGCAAAUCCCCCAUUUAAGUGAAAAUCACGCGUUUUCUCUUCGGAAAUACGCCAUUUAAGCGAAAAUCACAUGUUUUCUCUUCGGAAAUCCGCCAUUUAAGCGAAAAUCACGCAUUUUCUCUUUGAGAAUCCCCCAUUUAAGCGAAAAUCACGCGUUUUUUUCUUCAAGAAUCCCUCAAUUAACCUGAAAAUCACGCGUUUUCUCUUCAAGAAUCCCCCAUUUAACCCAAAAAUCACAUGUUUUCUUUUUGAGAAUCCCCCAUUUAAGCAGAAAUCACACGCUUCCUCUUCACAAAUCCUUCAUUUAAGCGAAAAUCUGGUGGUUACUCUUUGAGAAUCCCCCAUUUAACCCGAAAAUCACACGUUUUCUCUUCGAGAAUCUCCCAUUUAGGAGAAAAUCAUGCUUUUUCUCUUUGAUAAUCACCCAUUUAACUUGAAAAUCACGCGUUUUCUCUUCGGAAACCCCCCAUUUAACCCAAAAAACACGCGUUUUCUCUUCGAGAAUCCCCCAUUUAGACCAAAAAAAUCACGCGUUUUCUCUUCGAGAAUCCCCCAUUUAACUGAAAAUCAUGCGUUUUCUCUUUGAUAAUCACCCAUUUAAGGGAAAUCACGCGGUUUCUACUUGGAAUCCGCCAUUUAAGAAAAAAUCACGCGUUUUUCU